rnacentral:rRNA from 1 species
GACAGAGGGUGCAAACGUUGUUCGGAAUUACUGGGCGAAAGCGCGUGUAGGCGGUCUCGCAAGUCGGAUGUGAAAGCCCAGGGCUCAACCCUGGAAGUGCACUCGAUACUGCGAGGCUAGAGUCCCGGAGAGGAUGGUGGAACUCUCGGUGUAGAGGUGAAAUUCGUAGAUAUCGAGAAGAACACCGGUGGCGAAGCGGCCAUCUGGGACGGUACUGACGCUGAGACGCGAAAGCGUGGGGAGCGAACAGG